CCUACGGGUGGCAGCAGUGAGGAAUCUUGGUCAAUGGACGAGAGUCUGAACCAGCCAAGCAGCGUGAAGGAUGACUGCCCUAUGGGUUGUAAACUUCUUUUAUAUGGGAAUAAAAUGUUCCACGUGUGGGAUUUUGUAUGUACCAUAUGAAUAAGGAUCGGCUAACUCCGUGCCAGCAGCCGCGGUAAUACGGAGGAUCCGAGCGUUAUCCGGAUUUAUUGGGUUUAAAGGGAGCGUAGGUGGAUUGUUAAGUUAGUUGUGAAAGUUUGCGGCUCAACCGUAAAAUUGCAGUUGAAACUGGCAGUCUUGAGUACAGUAGAGGUGGGCGGAAUUCGUGGUGUAGCGGUGAAAUGCUUAGAUAUCACGAAGAACUCCGAUUGCGAAGGCAGUUCACUGGACUGCAACUGACACUGAGGCUCGAAAGUGUGGGUAUCAAACAGGAUUAGAUACCCCUGUAGUC
rnacentral:rRNA from 1 species